rnacentral:rRNA from 1 species
CUGGGUUCAGAACGUCGUGAGACAGUUCGGUCCCUAUCUGUCGUGGGCGUAGGAAAUUUGAGAGGAGCUGUCCUUAGUACGAGAGGACCGGGAUGGACGUACCGCUGGUGCACCAGUUGUUUCGCCAGAAGCAUGGCUGGGUAGCUACGUACGGACGGGAUAAGCGCUGAAAGCAUCUAAGCGUGAAGCCCCCCUCAAGAUGAGAUUUCCCAAUUAGUAAGACCCCUUGAAGACGACGAGGUA